UACAGAGGGGGCAAGCGUUGUUCGGAAUUACUGGGCGUAAAGGGCGCGUAGGCGGCCUGCUAAGUCGGACGUGAAAUCCCUGGGCUCAACCCAGGAACUGCGUCCGAUACUGGAUGGCUUGAAUCCGGGAGAGGGAUGUGGAAUUCCAGGUGUAGCGGUGAAAUGCGUAGAUAUCUGGAGGAACACCGGUUGCGAAGGCGACAUCCUGGACCGGUAUUGACGCUGAGGCGCGAAAGCCAGGGGAGCAAACGGG
rnacentral:rRNA from 1 species